AGUGAACGCUGGCGGUAGGCCUAACACAUGCCAGUCGAACGGCAGCACAGUAAGAGCUUGCUCUUACGGGUGGCGAGUGGCGGACGGGUGAGGAAUACAUCGGAAUCUACUUUUUCGUGGGGGAUAACGUAGGGAAACUUACGCUAAUACCGCAUACGACCUACGGGUGAAAGCAGGGGAUCUUCGGACCUUGCGCGAUUGAAUGAGCCGAUGUCGGAUUAGCUAGUUGGCGGGGUAAAGGGCCACCAAGGCGACGAUCCGUAGCUGGUCUGAGAGGAUGAUCAGCCACACUGGAACUGAGACACGGUCCAGACUCCUACGGGAGGCAGCAGUGGGGAAUAUUGGACAAUGGGCGCAAGCCUGAUCCAGCCAUACCGCGUGGGUGAAGAAGGCCUUCGGGUUGUAAAGCCCUUUUGUUGGGAAAGAAAAGCAGCAGGUUAAUACCCCGCUGUUCUGACGGUACCCAAAGAAUAAGCACCGGCUAACUUCGUG
rnacentral:rRNA from 1 species